rnacentral:rRNA from 1 species
UGUAAGCGUAUACCAAAGUUGUUGCAGUUAAAACGCUCGUAGUCGGAACUUGGCCGUUCCGGAUGUGUGCACGUCGUGUGCGCACUUCGCGGGGAUUGCUUUUGUGGUCUUGCGUAGGAUGAGGCACUUUUAUUAGUGAACGUCCUCACGCAACCACUUUUUACUGUGAGAAAAUCAGAGUGCUCAAAGCAGGCAUUUGCCGUGAAUGUAUUAGCAUGGAAUAAUAGAAUAGGACUUGGUUCUAUUUUGUUGGUUUGUUGGGACUGAGUAAUGAUUAAGAGGGACAGUUGGGGGCAUUUGUAUUUCGGUGCUAGAGGUGAAAUUCUUAGAUUACCGAAAGACAAACUGCUGCGAAAGCGUCUGCCAAGGAUGUUUUCAUUGA